rnacentral:rRNA from 1 species
UAGUAGGUGAGGUAAAGGCUCACCUAGGCGACGAUCCGUAGCUGGUCUGAGAGGACGACCAGCCACACUGGAACUGAGACACGGUCCAGACUCCUACGGGAGGCAGCAGUGGGGAAUUUUGGACAAUGGGGGCAACCCUGAUCCAGCCAUACCGCGUGAGUGAAGAAGGCCUUCGGGUUGUAAAGCUCUUUCGGCAGGAAAGAAAUCGUGCAGGCUAAUAUCCUGUAUGGAUGACGGUACCUGAAGAAGAAGCACCGGCUACUACGUGCCAGCAGCCGCGGUAAUACGUAGGGUGCGAGCGUUAAUCGGAAUUACUGGGCGUAAAGCGUGCGCAGGCGGCUUUGCAAGACAGACGUGAAAUCCCCGGGCUUAACCUGGGAACUGCGUUUGUGACUACAGGGCUAGAGUGUAGCAGAGGGGGGUAGAAUUCCACGUGUAGCAGUGAAAUGCGUAGAGAUGUGGAGGAAUACCGAUGGCGAAGGCAGCCCCCUGGGCUAACACUGACGCUCAUGCACGAAAGCGUGGGGAGCAAACAGGAUUAGAUACCCUGGUAGUCCACGCCCUAAACGAUGUCAACUAGGUGUUGGGGAAGGAGACUUCUUUAGUACCGCAGCUAACGCGUGAAGUUGACCGCCUGGGGAGUACGGUCGCAAGAUUAAAACUCAAAGGAAUUGACGGGGACCCGCACAAGCGGUGGAUUAUGUGGAUUAAUUCGAUGCAACGCGAAAAACCUUACCUACCCUUGACAUGCCAGGAACCCUGCUGAGAGGCGGGGGUGCCCGAAAGGGAACCUGGACACAGGUGCUGCAUGGCUGUCGUCAGCUCGUGCCGUGAGAUGUUGGGUUAAGUCCCGCAACGAGCGCAACCCUUGCCAAUAAUUGCCAUCAUUCAGUUGGGCACUUUAUUGGGACUGCCGGUGAUAAACCGGAGGAAGGUGGGGAUGACGUCAAGUCCUCAUGGCCCUUAUGGGUAGGGCUUCACACGUAAUACAAUGGUCGGUACAGAGGGUUGCCAAGCAGCGAUGCGGAGCCAAUCCCAGAAAGCCGAUCGUAGUCCGGAUUGUUCUCUGCAACUCGAGAGCAUGAAGUCGGAAUCGCUAGUAAUCGCGGAUCAGCAUGCCGCGGUGAAUACGUUCCCGGGUCUUGUACACACCGCCCGUCACACCAUGGGAGUGGAAUCUGCCAGAAGUAGGUAGCCUAACCGCAAGGAGGGCGCUUACCACGGUGGGUUUCAUGACUGGGGUGAAGUCGGAACAAGGUA